AUGGUGGGCUUCUUCCGCAGCGGCAACCUUGCCUCAAGGGUGUUCGACCGGCAGUUUCUCUCUCCGCGCCCCGGCGCAACCGUUAAUACUGUCAGACAAUUCUAUGAGAAUUUGGUUCCAAGUUACACUAUAUACGACAUAGAUUGUCCAGACUAUUCAUUUCGCAAGUUCACCGAUGAUGGCAAGUAUCUUGUGGCCUUUAGUCGAAACCACCAAGAUUUGAUUGUGUACCGUCCCAUCUGGUUAACGUUUUCAUGCCACGAAGAAUGUGAUUCUCAUGAUCUUCCGGCCAAUGCAGAGAGAUUUGAGAGUUUCUUUAAGCAGCUCUACUCAAUCUCACUUGCAUCCAGCAAUGAGUACAUUUGUGAGGACUUUUUCCUUUACAUGGAGUGCCAUCAAUAUGGCUUAUUUGCAACGUCAACUGCACGAAGUAAUGAAUCAAGUGUCACUGAGGGUGCAAUUCACGGGGUACCAUCAAUUGAGAAAAUAACUUUCUAUCUUGUAAGGCUAGAAGAUGGUGCAAUACUAGACGAGAAAGCUUUCUGCAAUGAUUUUAUCAAUUUGGCUCAUAGUAUUGGUGCAUACUUGUAUGAGGAUCUGGUUUGCAUUGUCUCUCUUCGAUAUCAAACAAUACAUGUCCUACAAAUCCGAGAUUCAGGCAGCCUUGUUGAGGUACGGAGAAUUGGUGCAUUUUGCCGGGAAGAUGACGAACUAUUUCUUUAUUCACAUGGCCAGGCUGCACAAGGGAGUUCUUUUCUUCCUGGCAUCAAGCAACGGUUGCUAUCAUUUAUUUUCCACAAGACAUGGAAUGAGGAACCUGAUCAGGCUUUGAGGGUCCAGCACCUGAAGAAGAAAUUUUAUUUUCACUUUCAAGACUAUGUGGAUCUUAUCAUAUGGAAGGUACAGUUUUUGGAUCGCCAUCACCUAUUUAUCAAGUUUGGUAGUGUCAAUGGAAGGGUUACUCGAAGCACUGAUCAAAACCUAGCAUUCUUUGCUGUGUACAACAUGGAGACGACAGAGAUUGUGUCACUCUAUCAGCAGAAUUCUUCGGAGGAGCUGUAUUCAUUGUUUGAACAUUAUUAUGAUCAUUUCCAUGCAAAUCCUCAAAAUUCUUUGCAUGAGAAAUUUAUCUCGUCCAAUCCCAAUAGUGUUCAUGCUCUUGAUCAACUCCGCACCAUUAAAAGUAAAGCAAGCAGCCCCUCACAGUUUGUGAAAAAGAUGAUGGCGUCAUUGCCUUACACUUGCCAAUCACAAAGUCCUUCACCAUACUUUGAUCUGUCAAUUUUUCGUUAUGAUGAGAAGCUGUUUUCAGCAAUUGAUCGGCAUAGGCAUUGCACAGAGCAUCCGAUAAAAUUUAUAUCAGUGAGGCAACCAAAUGUCGUCAAAUUUAAGAUAAAACCAGGGUCAGAUUCUGGUGCUUCCGACAGCCGAGGAAAAAGAAUCUCUUCCUUGUUUCACCCAUUUUUCCCGCUUGCACUGUCGAUUCAGCAGACAAAUAUGCAGCCAACUGUUGUCAAUGUACAUUUCAGGAGAUAG
rnacentral:rRNA from 1 species